CAAUAGCGUAUAUUAAAGUUGUUGCAGUUAAAAAGCUCGUAGUUGGAUUUCUGGUAGGAGCGACCGUGCCGAACUUGAUUGUUCGAGUAUUGUGUUGUCUUCAGCCAUCCUCGUGGAGAACUUUUCUAACAUUAACUUGUUGGGAUUGGGACCCGCGUCGUUUACUGUGAAAAAAUUAGAGUGUUUAAAGCAGGCAUUAGCUUGAAUACAUUAGCAUGGAAUAAUAAGAUAGGACUUUGGUACUAUUUUGUUGGUUUGCAUACCAAAUUAAUGAUCAACAGGAACAGUUUGAGGAUAUUCGUAUGAACAUGUCAGAGGUGAAAUUCUUGGAUUUUGAUCAGACGAACUACUGCGAAAGCAUUUAUCAAGGAUGUUUUCAUUAAA
rnacentral:rRNA from 1 species